rnacentral:rRNA from 1 species
GGCGCACGGGUGAGUAUCGCGUAUACAAUCUGCCUCAUACUAGGGAAUAGCCCGAAGAAAUUUGGAUUAAUGCCCUAUAGUAUCUUUUUAAGGCAUCUUAUUAAGAUUAAAGGUUACGGUAUGAGAUGAGUAUGCGUUCUAUUAGCUAGUAGGUGUGGUAACGGCACACCUAGGCUACGAUAGAUAGGGGCCCUGAGAGGGGGAUCCCCCACACUGGUACUGAGACACGGACCAGACUCCUACGGGAGGCAGCAGUAAGGAAUAUUGGUCAAUGGACGAAAGUCUGAACCAGCCAUGCCGCGUGCAGGAUGACUGCCCUAUGGGUUGUAAACUGCUUUUAUAUAGGAAGAAAAACUUUCUCGUGAGAAAGCUUGACGGUACUAUAAGAAAAGGAUCGG